rnacentral:lncRNA from 1 species
AAUUUUUAAUAUUUACAAAAAGAGCUGUAAUAGGCCAAUUUUGGCCUGGCCCAAUAUUAACCAAAUUAAAAAUAAACCAAUAAAAAUAAUAAAAUAACAGUCCAUUAAUAAAGUCCAAUAACAUGUCCAGAUUACAAAAGCCCAAAAUAAAAAAAAAUCAAUAUAAUCCUAGACCCAACUAAAGCCCAAUUUGCAACCUACAACACUAAAAAACAACAGAAACCCUAUCCCAACGCUACCUCCAAUCUCC